UGCUCCGACCACGACCUUUCGACGGCACUGGCGGGAUCGCCAUUUGCUUUUUUUCAGAUUCGACUUUGUCGUCGAGAGUGACGCUCGAUCUUCACUCUCGUCCGGCCACAAUGUUUUAUGUUGAUUUUACUGUUUUUGAUUUCAUUAUUAUACAGAGAUAUUGAACUUUACCAACAUAGAAAAAGAUAAAAAAUGAGUGAAAAAAAGGGUUAUGUUUUUGAGUAAUGUUAAACCCCAGUUUUUCGUAGGUUAAAAACAAAUGUUUUGAAACAUCUUUGCUUGCCAGAAAAACUACCAACACAUGGAAUUCGAUUGGAACACAAGAGUGCAUAAAGUCGAGAAUCAAAUACAAAAUUCUAAAAAAUUCCAAAAAUAAAAGUUGAUAUAAUUGAAAUAGAAGUUUCUUGUACAAAUUUUUUCAGGAUUUAUCGUUCCGUAUGGGAUUAUUAGUUUGUUUUCAGUAUAAGUUAUGUCUGGAAAUGAGGAUUAUUCGAUGAGACUGCUCCGGAAUGUUCACGUGGGGCUUCCGAGUCCUGAGCCGGGGGAAACCGUCUUGGUUAGGGGUGAUUACGAAUAUUGGCACUACAAUUGCGAUGGUUUUAAGGAUCAGGGAUGGGGAUGCGGUUAUCGUACACUGCAAACAAUUUCGUCCUGGCUUAAGUUUAACAAGAAAAAUUCGUCUGAUGUACCGAGCUUAAGAGAAAUCCAGAAAAUCUUAGUCGACAUUGAAGACAAAGAAAGUUCUUUCGCAGGAUCGAGGAUGUGGAUCGGGAGUUUCGAAGUGUGUUUGGUUUUGGAUGAGCGAUACGAAGUUCAGAGCAAAAUAAUUCACGUAUCGUCGGGCAAAGACCUCAGUUCGCACGUGCCAAGCUUGAAGCUGCACUUUGAAAAAUUUGGCAGUCCGGUGAUGAUGGGCGGUGACAAAGAUUGUUCGAGCAAAGGUCUCGUUGGGAUUCACGUUGGAGAUGAAAACACGUAUCUGCUCGUGGUUGAUCCACACUUUGUGGGACGUGCCAAGAGUCGAGAACAAUUGCAGCAGAAUAAUUGGACUAAGUGGCAAAACCUAAAAGACUUUAUUGACAGUUCGUUCUACAAUAUUUGUUUACCACAGAUCAAAAGUUGCUCUGCCUGAUCUAAAGAAUUUCGAGCAGUUCCGUUGAUACUUUUAAUCGUACCUGGAGUUUUAAACGGUGAGUUUCGAUUGGUAUCACUGUGACGAUUGGUAACUCUUCGAUGAGCACCUUCGGAUGUGAUUUUUCGAGACAACUGUUCAUCCAGUCCCAUCGGGCACCCUCCAAGAAUAAACCUUUUACUAAAAGUUGGAUAAACGUUCGCUCGAUAAAGGAAUGAAAUUUUGAAAAGCUCUCGAUUGUGUACCUGAUCCGGCCUGUCUUCGAUUUCCUCGGCUUUCAAGUAUUUCGAAACUGAGGUAUAAACGAGGGAUUUGUCGAGAGGCCAAUUGUUCUUCCUACAUGACAUUUGGACCAGCGCAGCAAUGUACGUUUCCGGUAUGUGGAGUCCUGAGAGCCAAAUAACUAUCGGUUCGUUGCAACCAGCCUGUGGGCAAUUUGCAUUCGUAAAAAAGCUCCUCUUCGUCCUUCCUUUGUGCUUCGUUCGUCGUUUCUAGACCAUUACCCAAUUCGUGUACUGAGCUAUCCUCCUGUCAAAAUGCUCCAUCCAACUACCAAGAUUUUUCUUCGUCGCCGGUGCCAAAGCUGCCCAUUCCUGCGGCAAUGUUCCGUUGUGAAGAGCGCUUGAAACACUGUCGAGUGUCGCGUCCAUCCCAAUUUCGCCUGCUAUUGCCUGAGCAACGAAUAAAUUCAUGUUAUUUUUUCCCCGAUAAAUCCUUCCGCGUUUUUCUCCGGUUUUGCUAUAUUUGCAGCAAAAAAUUUCAAGUUUGAUUUAUUGUUUGAAAUAUUUUCUCAUUUCUUGCGCUUCUUUCGUUUGGAAUUUCGUAAAAUGUUCAGAAAUUUGAUUCGAUACACGAAAUAAAACGUGCAUUUUCUCGAA